rnacentral:tRNA from 1 species
UGAGGGGUGGCAGAUACAUGCCUUAGGCUUAAGACCUAAUUAUAAGAUUAAACUUCCCCUCAA